rnacentral:rRNA from 1 species
AGAUUGAACGCUGGCGGCAUGCUUUACACAUGCAAGUCGAACGGUAACAGGCCGCAAGGUGCUGACGAGUGGCGAACGGGUGAGUAAUGUAUCGGAACGUGCCCAGUCGUGGGGGAUAACGCAGCGAAAGCUGCGCUAAUACCGCAUACGAUCUAUGGAUGAAAGCGGGGACCGUAAGGCCUCGCGCGAUUGGAGCGGCCGAUAUCAGAUUAGGUAGUUGGUGGGGUAAAGGCUCACCAAGCCAACGAUCUGUAGCUGGUCUGAGAGGACGACCAGCCACACUGGGACUGAGACACGGCCCAGACUCCUACGGGAGCAGCAGUGGGGAAUUUUGGACAAUGGGCGAAGACG